UCCUUGUAUUAUCUUCAUUUCCUUCAUCCAAAAAGUUUUCUUCCUGAGAAGAAACUUGCUUUUGACUUUUUUUUUCUUUUUUUCAGAUUCAAGGCUGUCCUCAAAUGUCUAAUGACUUUUGGCUACUGGUUCCUGAAAUAAUAUUUUUUCUCUGUUAUUGCCCAUGGAAUGAAGACCAACUCAACUCUCAAGAGCAAGCUGAAGCCAAACACUGAACAAAAUGGACAAACCUGAAAUAUGGCACAUCAUGUUGUGGCUGAGAUACCUGAUCUUCAUUUAUUUCAAGUGACGGGACUUCUUUUGUUGGGAGGCCAUUUGAAUUUUUAGUAGUUUCAUCUUUAUUUAAGACAUGUUCUACAAAGAAAACACCACAGGUUUCCCAUCUCUUCUGACUCUCUGUGGCUCUAAACAAAUCUCUGAUAAAUCAUAGUCCGGAAGGU